rnacentral:lncRNA from 1 species
CAGUCAUGGUCUGGAGUCAAGAAAUGAAGAGGGCAAGCAAUGUUUUUGGCAUCCUGACUACAGUUACAUGCAGUUUGGGGCUGCUGCAAUGGCAACUCAACGGAGAGGUUAGGAACACCAACUCCAGGAUCAGGCAAUCUUUGAAUCCCUGUCACUAGCAGCUUUGUAUAUUGGAGCAAGUUACUUAACAUCUGUCUGCUGGAGUUUGCUGGAGGUUCACUCCAGACCCUAUUUGCCUGGGUAUCACCAGUGGAGGCUGCAGAACAGCAAAGAUUGCUGCCUAUUCCUUCCUCUGGAAGCUUCUUCCUAGAGAGUCACCUGCCAGAUGCCAGCCAGAGCUCCCCGAAAUGAGGUAUUCAGUGACAUCUUUCUAAAUUGUUUAAAAUGAGAAGCAUUGCACACUGAGAGUCAGGAUCCAAGUGUCUUUGACUGAGCCAACUCAGCUCUGCUAUUAACUUAUGGUGUGAUCGCAGGCUGUCUAGAAAAGGACACCAACAAUCACCCAUGAAGAUUGCCCUUCAACCUUUGGGAGGAAAUGAUCGAAAUGGGAGCUAGAGAAGAUUGUUGUUGGAAUCUCAGAGAUUAUAAGCAAUUUCUCCAUGGCUGGAAUUCAGUUGAUCUGGGACUGAACCUAUUUCUAAUGGAGCUGUGACGAGAGACCACAGUAAAUCCAAGCUUGGAAAAUGAGCUGUGUCAGCCCUCCCAAAGACAACCUCCUUGCAACAGGAAGUUGUCAAAGCCCCAGGGACCAGAAACCAUGAAGUUAUUUGGAUGAUAGAUACAGAGAUACGCUGCUCAGAUGCCCCUUUCAAGAAAGAACUUGCUGCCUCUUGCUCAGUUUCUUCCUGGAGCUUUCAAGCAUCUUUGCAGGGAAGUCACAUCCUUCCCAGGGCAGCCCGACUGACCAAGGGAGAAGAAGUUUAACAGAGAUGAGGCAUCCUGGAAUAUCCAGGUGGCAACAUGGAGUAGAGAUGAUGACUACUUCUAGGCCAUGAAAAACCAGCAGGAUCCAUGAUGGCUGAGAAAUGACAAUAUUGGUGAAUUAAGUACAUCUCAGGGAGAAGCCCUAUUAAAUUAGCCUAAUACCUUA